UGCAGUCGAGCGGAUGACGGGAGCUUGCUCCUUGAUUCAGCGGCGGACGGGUGAGUAAUGCCUAGGAAUCUGCCUGGUAGUGGGGGACAACGUUUCGAAAGGAACGCUAAUACCGCAUACGUCCUACGGGAGAAAGCAGGGGACCUUCGGGCCUUGCGCUAUCAGAUGAGCCUAGGUCGGAUUAGCUAGUUGGUGGGGUAAUGGCUCACCAAGGCGACGAUCCGUAACUGGUCUGAGAGGAUGAUCAGUCACACUGGAACUGAGACACGGUCCAGACUCCUACGGGAGGCAGCAGUGGGGAAUAUUGGACAAUGGGCGAAAGCCUGAUCCAGCCAUGCCGCGUGUGUGAAGAAGGUCUUCGGAUUGUAAAGCACUUUAAGUUGGGAGGAAGGGCAGUAAGCUAAUACCUUGCUGUUUUGACGUUACCGACAGAAUAAGCACCGGCUAACUCUGUGCCAGCAGCCGCGGUAAUACAGAGGGUGCAAGCGUUAAUCGGAAUUACUGGGCGUAAAGCGCGCGUAGGUGGUUCGUUAAGUUGGAUGUGAAAGCCCCGGGCUCAACCUGGGAACUGCAUCCAAAACUGGCGAGCUAGAGUACGGUAGAG
rnacentral:rRNA from 1 species